UACAGAGGUCCCAAGCGUUGUUCGGAUUCACUGGGCGUAAAGGGUGCGUAGGCGGUCGGGUAAGUCUGAUGUGAAAUCUCACAGCUUAACUGUGAAACUGCAUUGGAUACUAUCCGGCUCGAGGAAUGGAGGGGAGACUGGAAUACUUGGUGUAGCAGUGAAAUGCGUAGAUAUCAAGAGGAACACCAGUGGCGAAGGCGAGUCCCUGGACAACUUCUGACGCUGAGGCGCGAAAGCCAGGGGAGCGAACGGG
rnacentral:rRNA from 1 species